rnacentral:tRNA from 1 species
UUCGCUGUGGUGUAGUGGCAACAUAUAUCCCUUCCAAGGAUGUGAUCUGGGUUCGAUUCCUGGCAGUGAAA